AACGAACGCUGGCGGCAUGCCUAACACAUGCAAGUCGAACGAGACCUUCGGGUCUAGUGGCGCACGGGUGCGUAACGCGUGGGAACCUACCCUUAGGUUCGGAAUAACUCCCCGAAAGGGGUGCUAAUACCGGAUAAUGUCUUCGGACCAAAGAUUUAUCGCCUUUGGAUGGGCCCGCGUUGGAUUAGCUAGUUGGUAGGGUAAAAGCCUACCAAGGCGACGAUCCAUAGCUGGUCUGAGAGGAUGAUCAGCCACACUGGGACUGAGACACGGCCCAGACUCCUACGGGAGGCAGCAGUGGGGAAUAUUGGACAGUGGGCGAAAGCCUGAUCCAGCAAUGCCGCGUGAGUGAUGAAGGCCUUAGGGUUGUAAAGCGCUUUUACCCGGGAUGAUAAUGACAGUACCGGGAGAAUAAGCUCCGGCUAACUCCGUG
rnacentral:rRNA from 1 species